UCUUCAAGUUGAUUGGGUAUUAUCCAGUUCUUCUUUGAAGACGUUCAACCAAUUUACAUUCCACUCACAGCAUGAAAGAGUUGCUGUUCCAGAGCUGUAUUUCUGGGUGCCGUCUCCUGAUGUCUUCUAUAGGAUAUUUGCUUCUGUAUUCGCAAGAGACAUUAACCUUUUCUUUACCCUGGCCUGAUUUGGGGGAUGAAGAAGCCAAUCUGUGAGUCUAGGAUGGGGAUGUAAUGGUAACCGUAGGAUAAUCAAGCUGUUUGCUUCUUGUUGACACCAGAAGCUGGGAACACAGUGAAAAGGGCACAAUGAAGAGGUGGUGACGGGUGCUGGCAUGGAAUAAAGAGAUGAAGAAAAGAAAGUUCCAAGCAAAGAAAUAAAAAUGAAAAACUGAA